rnacentral:rRNA from 1 species
CUAUUUAUACCGGCGGCAUUUCAUCUUAUUAGAGGAACUUGUUAUUUAAUCGACAAACCACGAUAAUUUUCACUUAAAUUAAAAAUUUAUAUACCGCCAUCUAAAGAAAUAAUUAAUUAAAUAUUACUCAAAAUAAAUCAAUAUAAUAAAAAGUUAGGUCAAGGUGUAAUCUACAUUUAAGAAUCCAAUGAGUUACACUAAAAAUAAUUUAAGAAUUUCUUAAUGUAAACUUAACAUGAAAAAGGAUUUAAAAGUAAUUAUUUACUAAUAAUACAUCAUGAAUAAGACAACAAAUGUGCACACA